UACGGGGGGAGCAAGCGUUGUUCGGAUUUACUGGGCGUAAAGGGCGCGUAGGCGGUCGUGACAAGUCACUUGUGAAAUCUCCGGGCUUAACUCGGAACGGUCAAGUGAUACUGUCGGACUAGAGUACAGAAGGGGCAACUGGAAUUCUCGGUGUAGCGGUGAAAUGCGUAGAUAUCUGGAGGAAUACCGGUGGCGAAGGCGGCAUCCUGGACCGAGAUUGACACUGAUGAGCGAAAGCUAGGGGAGCAAACGGG
rnacentral:rRNA from 1 species